rnacentral:sRNA from 1 species
GCUGGGCAUGGUGGUGUGUGCCUGCAGUCCCAACUACUUGGGAGGCUGAGGUGGGAGGAUCACUUGAGCCUGGGAAGUCGAGGGUUGCAUUGAGCUGUGAUUGCACCACUGUACUCUGGCCUGGGCAACGGGAGUGAAACCCUGUCUCAAAAAAAAAAAGUGCUGCUCAGGCAGGAGUGUAGUGGUGUGAUCUCAGCUCACUGCAACCUCCGCCUCCCAGGUUCAAGCGAUUUUCCUGCCUCA